AGGAUGAGUUCUCCUGUUUGGUCUGUAUCAAUUGGUGCUUUCAUUGAGAGCCCAAAUGGCUCGGAGUGGUGGCCGGGCAACGAACUCGCUGUGACCAACGAGUGCGUUUGGGACCGCUCGGAGUGGUGAACAGGCAAAGAAUCCACCGAGACCAACGUGGCCGUGACCAAUGAGAACUCGGAGUGGUGGCCUGGUGACCCACGGAGUGGUGAACGGGCAAAGAAUCCGCCGUGACCAAUGAGAACUCGGAGUGGUGGUGAACAGGCAAAGAAUCCACCGAGACCAACGUGGCCGUGACCAAUGAGAACUCGGAGUGGUGGCCUGGUGACCCACGGAGUGGUGAACGGGCAAAGAAUCCGCCGUGACCAAUGAGAACUCGGAGUGGUGGCCUGGCAAAGAACCAGCCGUGACCAACGACCAACGAGACGUUGGCCCUUAAAGGAGGGUCGAAUGUUACUGACUCAAUUCCCACAUCGGUUGUGAGAGCUCUCUCUCCUAAUAGGCUGGUCUUUUGGCUCUCUCUCCUAACAUGCUAGUCUUUUGGGAUGAGUUCUCCUGUUUGGUCUGUCUCAGUUUAUCAUACAAAAAGUGCGUCUCAUUGCAAAGUUGGAAUAAUAAUUCUUUAAAGAGAAAAUUAUUUCACACAAACAUUUUUUCUAUAUCCUUUUAUUUUCACAUUGUAGUGUAAAUAAGAUAGAGAAGUGAUGAAUAAUGACUAUAUAACUUUUGAAUAUUAAACCAAAACACAUUUCACAAUUUUUUUCACUAAUUAAGUAAUCAAGUUUGAAAAUUAAAUAAGGAAAGUUAGUAAAUUUACUAGUCGAGGAUCGGACUAUAUUCAGCCGAAAAUAAAACCAAAGCCUAUUUCAUUGUCGGGGACAAAAAUCAAUAUUCAGGGUUACUCUAGCAAUUAUUUAGAGUAUUAGGGCUCAAUAAUUAAUAUCCAAGUUUACAGGGAGCCUUUUGCAAUUUGUCCGGAGUCCGUGUCGACUUCUUUCAAUGCAUAUUUUCUCAGUAACAAUUCAUCAAACAUCUUGCUCACUACGAGCCCUCUUUCGUCGACUCGAUUUCGAUCUACCAUACGAUGAUCACCGAUAGAAGUUACAAUGAAAGAGAGGAAGACUCACGUUCCAAUGCAUUGAAGCCCUCCGCUAACCCUUCGCAAUUGGGGUAAUUUAUCUUUAUCUAGCUGCUGAAUUUUCAUUUAGAUAAAGUUUGUUAGUGGCGGGAUCCAUUUCGCAUGUUCGAUAAUAGCGCAGAUGAUCAUGUCUUUUACUCAGGUUAGGUAGUGAUAUUUGAAAUGAUUACAAUUGUCAGGCCGAUUUGAAUGGAUCGUAGGGUUGUUAUGCCUCUACGUUCAGAUGAUAUGAUUUGUUUUUCGAGUAUAUUCAUACUUUAAUUGUUUUUUCUUUUGAUGUGUGAUAGUGACUCUUCUCCACAUACACACACACUGGCACACAUGUAUUUAUGGUGAUUGUGUGGUAGUAAGAUAAUAGUAUGAUGUUAGUAUGUAUCUUUUCCCCAGAUGUUGUGCCAGUAAUGGUGUUAGCUUUUCUGUGUUCACUUUUAAUUUAAAUCUUAAUCUGGAAAAUGCCAUGCUUGGGUAUGAUAUCCCCCACUCACACCAUAACUCUAUUGCUAUCUAUCGUUCAAAAACUUGGCUAUAGUUAUGAACUUCUUCCUCGGGAAAUGCAUAGAUAUGUCAUCCUGUGGCUUGGCUGUUUCCCAUGUAGAUUUUCAACCACCAAUUGUUGCAUAAGUGAACAUCUUUUGCUUUUGUUAUGUUGAAUACUUUGAAUAGUAAUUACAUUACUAGUUUGAGGGAGUGUGAAAGGGAAACUGAUACUUAUAGUAUACAUCCCCAGAAUAGUAGUAAUACAUCAUUUUGUGAUGGAUGGUGCUAUGUAAAAUCUCAUUUGGUUUAAUGCUGAAGUGAUAUGCUCUUAUGAUUAUUAUUAUUAUUAUUAUUAUUAUUAUUAUUAUUAUUAUUAUUAUUAUUAUUAUUAUCAAGUUUCAUAUAACAAACAAGUUAUGACCGUAAUGAAUUUUAACAAAAGAGAAUGUAAACGGCAUGUCUUAGAAGCGUUUACUCUUCACGCAUUUGAAUUCUGCUACUCAUGAGCGCUUCCACAUCAUAGUCAUGUUAUCAUUCCUCAUUUGUUUCCUAUUAACUCUCCAGCCACUAAAUUUUAGUAUGUCCAAUACUUUUCAUGUGCUAUUCAUUGAUACAAAUAAAUAGUCACUGCAUAAUAGAAAGUCGCAAUAAUAUAUGAGUGAAGGACCUUUGGGAAUGUCAUUUGUGGACGUAAUGAAAUGACCAACCUUGUUAUAUUUUGUAUUCCUCUUCUCUCUACUAAAUCAAAUCUUGGCAUCAAAUGUGCAUUUUUGAAUUUGGAUUCUGCAUCAAAUUUGUGCCUACUGUGUUCAUUUUUUAUAUCAAACCUUGCUGGGUUAACCAAAUCAAAGUUUCUUUUUUAAAAUCAAGAAAUCAUUCAACUACCUAUUCUGCAUGAAAUUUGUGCCUAAUGUGUUAAUUUUUGUAAAUUGCAGUAUGCAUAAAAUUGAUCAUUUACUGUUUCUGUAAUUGCAUGAAAUUUUGGCCAUGCUUAGUAGAAUUAUGAGCCUCUUUUAUCAAAGUAGGCUGGAGUGAACACAAUCUGUUCUCAUGAUUUCCACUAAUGAUGGUGUUGUUGUGUCACAGUUCCUUCAUUGAGCAUCUUACCUGAAUCAAGCGACUCUGAACCGUAGUGGUAGCUAUUUUUAUUGUUUCGUUAUAUAUGGUUUAUGUUGUUUCAUUAUAUAUGGUUUAUGUAAUUAUAGUGUUUAAGUUUAUGCUAUUUCCCUUCCUUCCUGCGUAACAUAAAGCUAAAAAAAUGAUUAAGUAGUUGAAAGCUACUAAACAAGUGAAAUUCUCUGUAGUCGGCUCGAAGAAUGCAGUGUUAAUUUUUGGGUUGAGCGGAAUAUAAGUUAAAAGAUGGAGUCACCACCUGAUGUUAUGAAUGUUCUUGCAACUUCGGAAAACCAUAUUGGUCUUCUUUGGAAGAGGUGCAAAUCCCUGCACAAGAAGUGGCCGUGGCCAUUCCAGUCUCGAUUUCAAGGCAUGAAAGUGAUUACUUGGCGACAACAGAUGAUGGAUUGAGGAAGAUGCUAACCCAAGUUUUCAUUGACAGUGCAAUUUUGAGGAAACAAGCGGAUUUCAUUAUCUGCUGUGGUUUAGAUACGGCAUACAUCUCCCGAUAGUACCCAAACAGGGAAAGAGGAUGCGCUUUCCCAAAAAACUGAGUUUUUCAACAUAUGAUGUAAUCAAGACUCUCUGUGAAUAGAUUCAUCCACUCCACAAUGGAAGUAGAUUGCAGGUGCAUAUGCAUUUGUAUUUGCCAUUAAUUUUACUUAAUGAAAGCUGACUGGAUGAUGCCAGGCGCGUGUGCUCUGCUCCAAAGAAACACAUCAAAUAAUGUAUUUGUAUUGAACAUGCAUUUAUUUUUGUAUAA